GACGAACGCUGGCGGCGUGCCUAAUACAUGCAAGUCGAGCGCAGGAAAUCGACGGAACCCUUCGGGGGGAAGUCGACGGAAUGAGCGGCGGACGGGUGAGUAACACGUAAAGAACCUGCCCUCAGGUCUGGGAUAACCACGAGAAAUCGGGGCUAAUACCGGAUGGGUCAUCGGACCGCAUGGUCCGAGGAUGAAAGGCGCUCCGGCGUCGCCUGGGGAUGGCUUUGCGGUGCAUUAGCUAGUUGGUGGGGUAAUGGCCCACCAAGGCGACGAGGCAUAGCCGACCUGGGAGGGUGAUCGGCCACACUGGGACUGGGACACGGCCCAGACUCCUACGGGAGGCAGCAGUAGGGAAUCUUCCACAAUGGACGAAAGUCUGAUGGAGCAACGCCGCGUGAACGAUGAAGGCCUUCGGGUCGUAAAGUUCUGUUGUAAGGGAAGAACAAGUGCCGCAGGCAAUGGCGGCACCUUGACGGUACCUUGCGAGAAAGCCACGGCUAACUACGUGCCAGCCGCCGCGGUAACAC
rnacentral:rRNA from 1 species